GUCAACUAACCCUCGACUGAAGUCGAAGGCAUGAGGAGCGAUCCUUAAGGCCUGGUUGAUUAGCCUCAGUGCUUCGGCACUACGUUGUUUUUGUCAUAACACCCACGGACGUCCAUCCUAAUCCGUGGCACUGUU
rnacentral:sRNA from 16 species